GACGAACGCUGGCGGCGUGCUUAACACAUGCAAGUCGAACGGAAAGGCCCUGCUUUGGUGGGGUGCUCGGGGGGCGAACGGGGGAGUAACACGUGAGUAACCUGCCCUUGACUGUGGGAUAAGUUAAGGAAAGUGGGGCUAAUACGGGAUAGGAGCUCCUGCUGCAGGGUGGGGGCGGGAAAGUUUCGGCGGUUGGGGAUGGACUCGCGGCUUAUCAGCUUGAUGGUGGGGUAGUGGCUUACCAAGGCCUGGACGGGUAGCCGGCCUGAGAGGGUGACCGGCCACAUUGGGCCUGAGCUACGGCCCGGACUCCUACGGGACGCAGCAGUGCGGAAUAUUGCACAAUGGGCGGAACCCUGAUGCAGCAACGCCGCGUGCGGUAUGACGUCCUUCGGGUUGUAUUCUGCUUUCGUCUUUGCCGAAGCGUGAGUGACGGUAAUGGGUAAAGAAGCACCGGCUAACUACGUG
rnacentral:rRNA from 1 species